rnacentral:rRNA from 1 species
UACGUAGGGCGCAAGCGUUAUCCGGAAUUAUUGGGCGUAAAGAGCUCGUAGGCGGUUUGGUAAGUCGGGUGUGAAAUCUCCACGCUCAACGUGGAGGGGCCACUCGAUACUGCCAUGACUCGAGUCCGGUAGAGGAGUGUGGAAUUCCCGGUGUAGCGGUGAAAUGCGCAGAUAUCGGGAGGAACACCCGUAGCGAAGGCGGCACUCUGGGCCGGAACUGACGCUGAGGAGCGAAAGCGUGGGGAGCAAGCAGG